AGGAUUAUAGCUCAGUGGUAGAGCGUGGGUCUCAUAAGCCCGAGGUCGAUGGUUCGAUCCCAUCUAUUCCUA
rfam:Bacillus cereus bacteriophage vB_BceM_Bc431v3, complete genome.